UAAAAAAAUAUGUAUAAAGAGUGAGUUUCCUAAUUCACUCUUCGAAAAAUUUACCUAUUUUUCUGAAAUCAGCAAAAUUCAAAAUUCUAGUUAAAAUUGCAACUCUUCAAGGUCUGAUGUGGGUCUAAUAUCUCACAACCGUACUGCUGCUGUUUGUUAUCAAUUCAUUUAAUGGUAAUUUCUUAAGGCCCCGUAAGUGAAUCUGACAUUAAAGUAACAUAUAGGACAGAUGCGCAAAUGUUGGACAAGUCCCAUCAAUACAUGAAUGGAUACUGAAGUUUUGAUUAUGAAAUAAUUUAUUGUAGAAUUGCGCAACACGCUUACUUGAAAUAAUAAAUCGAAUAAUUUAUAAACUUGGCAUUAAGUUCAUGAAUCAAUUGUUGUGAAGACGAUCCAAAAAGCAUAUACAAUGGCUGUAGAUUUUAGUCUCUUGUUUAUGGAAAUAAUGGAAUCACACUCAAAAAUAGUCGAUUCAUUAAUAAACUUCAUUUACGAUAAUGUAUCGAGGGUUGUAAGUAAUUUGGACUUGGUUCACAUUAUCUUAUGUACUUACCCAAUUCUCACCAUAUCAUAAAGUGCAAGUGGAUGUUCAAGAAACGUGUCAAAAAGCAUAGUUUGAUGGGUGUCACUGUCAAGACCGGAGUCGGUAUACGGGUACGUGAAUAAAUCUUAUGACUUUGUAAGCCAAAACGAACAAAACAUUCUGACACUUUUUCAUUAGGAAUAUGACGUCAUAAAUAGCAGCAGGAAAAAGUCAAGGCUUUUUUAAAUAUUUGGUACUCAUUUAGACGAUAAAAAUUCUGAUAUAAAAAAUAUAUUUUUUACCAU